rnacentral:rRNA from 1 species
CAAUAGCGUAUAUUUAAGUUGUUGCAGUUAAAAAGCUCGUAGUCGGAUUUUGGCUGAGAACGAACGGUCCGCCGUUAGGUGUGCACUGUUUGGUCUCAGCUUCCUGGUGAGGAGGUGUGCUUCACGGCCACUUAGUCACCGUGGUUACUUUGAAAAAAUUAGAGUGUUCAAAGCGGGCUUACGCUUGAAUAUAUUAGCAUGGAAUAACACCAUAGGACUCCUGUCCUAUUUCGUUGGUCUCGGGACGGGAGUAAUGAUUAAGAGGAACAGUUGGGGGCAUUCGUAGUUCAUUGUCAGAGGUGAAAUUCUUGGAUUUAUGAAAGACGAACUUCUGCGAAAGCAUUUGCCAAGGAUGUUUUCAUUGA